UACAGCAAUAUGAAAUACUUAUAUUUAUACACGUUUCAUCGUGAUUUCACCAGUUUCUACCGCAUAUGUUGUGUUGUAUAACACGUUCUCCUUGUCACUGUAAUUUCAGACCAGAGAAAGUAAAAAAUAAGUAUACGACCUUCAACUGUACAUGUCUAAUUGUUAUGGUAAUGUUGGGAUUCAUGAUCAGAGUCCCAUGAUGUUGCAGUGUCCACAGAGGAACCUGUGAGCGGCAGCACCGCGACCCGAGGACCUGAAAGAUGGCGGCUGGAAGUGCAGGCGUUAGCGGCCACAACAAUGGUUCAUCGCCGCGCUUGGAGUCCACUUUGGACCGUCGCUUUCAGACUGUAUCCAACACCAUGGAAUCCAUCCAGGGCCUAUCCGUCUAUUGCAUCGAGAACAAGAAAUAUCACAGCUUGGUCGUGCGAUACUGGAUGAGGUGGCUGCGCAAAUCGGAUGCGCCACACAGGCUUAAUCUCUUCUAUCUGGCGAAUGAUGUCAUUCAGAACUGUAAAAGGAAAAAUGCCAUAGUCUACCGCACCACAUUCACAGAUGUGCUGCCAGAAGCUAUUAAGCUCAUCAGUGCAACAAAGGAUUCUAAGGUGAACAAGGCAGUGGUGAGGAUACUGUCCAUUUGGGAAGAGAGAAAUGUCUAUUCAGAGGAGUUCAUCAGUCAGCUUAGGAACAAUUUGGUUCGGAAAGAAGAACCAGUGAAAGCUCCAGUUAGCUCCAAAUCUGCCCUGAAAUCCAAGAUUGUUGCUGAGUUUGUGCCCACUGCGUUUAUCGAGCAUCUGUCCAAGUACAGGACGUCCAUGGAUGAAAUUGAGCUCAAAGAGAAACAGUUAGCAGCAAUGAGAGUGGAUGUGUGCAGCACAGAGGCUCUUAAGAAACUGAAAGACAAGGCAGGAGGUAAAAGGUUUUCUAAAGACUUUGAAGACGGGAGUACAAAGCUUCAGGAGUUUGUUUCCUUUCUGGAUGGAGAGGUCAAAAAAGGCCCCCCAUUAAUGGAAGCUCUGGAGAAUGCAGACAUAUUCUAUGAGAUGCAAUAUAAAGAGGUCAAGAUUGUGGCUAAAGCUUACGAGACAUUUGCAAACCGGGUGUCACACCUUAAGCGCAAGCUCGAUUCACUGAAGUCUAGAUUGCCUGAUCCAGAUGACUCCCCCACACCAUCCCCCAUCCCCUCCCCCAUUGAAGAUGCUCCUUCGCCCACUGGUUCAGAGUCGCCCUUCCAAGCUCUGGAAAGGAUUGGUACCCCAGACCCAGAGCUGGAUGGUCAGGCGAUGGAGGAGGACUUGAUUGCUUUGGCUGAUGCUCCCAGCCCUCUCUCAUCUGUCGGGGGCUCCUCCCCACCAAGUGCUCCUUUGGGAGACAAAGACAAUCGUGAUGUAGAAGACAUGGACCUCUCGGAUGUAGAGGAGACAGAAACGCCUACCAUCAUAGUUGAGGAACGUGUGGCCUCGGCUGUUGCGUCCAAACAGUCUUCUGUCACUCCAAAUGUCACAGAAUCCUUGCCAACAACUGAAUGUACUCAAACAAAGCAGAUCGACACCCCAGCAGUGACAGUUCCCUCAGCAGUAACAACAACUACAACAACAACCACCACCACACCAACUACACCGUCACUGCCAGUGAACCUUGCUGGUGUUGAUCUAGGCAAAAUCAGCUCCAUUCUCAGCACAAUCACAAACGUUAUGAAGAGCUCAGCUGUAGGAGUUAGUCCUGUAUCUCGGCCAUCCCCGAGUGUACCUUCUACUCCAAGCUCAACUCAAAAGACUCCCACUACUGCCCCUCUGGCUAACCCACUGGCCAGCAUCCUUUCUAGGGUGGACAUCAACCCCAACACUUUGCUCAGUGCACUGUCUAAAACACAAACCCAUGGGGGUUUUCAGGGUCUGUCCUCUUUGCUAAACAACCCGACUGCAAAGACCACCACAUCUUCGAAUUCUGAAAAGCAAUCCCUGACAUCGCCUCUUACAGCAGAGACUCAAGAAUCUCCUAAAGUCUUACUUGCUCCUUCUAGUCUCCCACUGGCUAGGAAUCCCUCUACUCAAGGAUGUGUGGCUCCUACGCCUAUGCAGUCCAAUAUGGAGAAUGAGAAAAUAACUCCUAGCUCUUCUCUCAACUCUACCUUUGACUCCAAGUUGGAUAACUUUCUCCAAGAUAACCCAGGGCUGAAAGGCUUUAAUUUGGGAUUUCCAUCUGUUCUGUUGUGGCCUAAAGGAACUGUUGAUAGCCCUUCAGCAAGUGCAGAAAACCUUGGUGGAACCCCUGUAAGGGAUGAAGCUGGUGCUACACCGACACAAGAUGAAAUUAUGGAUGCUCCUCCAUCAGAGCUGUUCUCGUAUCAGCAGGGGCAAACGGUGUCUAUGACCACCACUUUAGAUGCUAAAUCAAUGCGUCCACUUCCAUCUUGGCAGGAACAAAAUGCUCACACCGAUCCUCAAGCUCACACAGACCUGCACCAGAAGAUCGCACCAAAAAAAGACUAUGUGCCCUCUCUUGCCGAGGCAGAAGCUAAGCGCAUUCAACGCAUUGAAGCAAUGCGUUCCUCUUCUAUGUCCAGCAACCAGCAACCUUUGAGAGAUACCGAGAAAUCCAGUGUAAUGCUUCAAGAGCUGAGACAAAACUCCUUGACUCAUGAUGUGGGACCAAAUUCUAAAAUGGUGGAAGGUAGCUACGCAUAUCGAGAUGAUCAAGAGAAGCAAGUAUUGGCCAGCUCUGACGCAUAUGGUGCAGAGCGUUAUGUUGCCAAAGAACCAAGACAGGAUCUUGCAGCGCCUAACUUCUUCACCACACCUCUGCCACCUAUCCCAAAGCUUCCUCCUCCACCACAAGAUUUCAUGCAUACAGCAUCUUCUUCAAGAGCAAGUGGUCCUCAUGCCACUGAAGAUUUGCAGGAACCUUUCAGGGAAGCAGAACGAGGUGGUGUUGAUGGCUCCUAUGUCCCAGCAAACUCUGAUUAUGAACACAUGUCUCAUGAGGUUUCAAACAAGGAGCCUUUCCAUCCACAUGGGGAUGUGAUUUCUCACUCUGCUAAUGCACCGCACCUUGUUACUAAAAUCCCACUGAAUGGGCCAGUGGACUACAACCACCAACAUCCACCAAGAGUACCUCUGCAGCACCCUCCAAGUAUACCCCAUCACCACAUUGGGUCUUCUCCUCCAGUACGGGGUUACCAUGAAUCUUCAAGUCCUCCUCGACCUUUGCCUGAAGAUCCAUACUUUGACCAAUUCUACGAACAGCCACCACGUAGCCCCUCUCCCCCUCAUUACGAAAUGCACCUGAUUUCGCCUCAUGCACAAGAGUAUUAUCCUGAAGAAUUACCACCUCACUACCCAGAACGCAGGGUUCCUCCUCACCUGGAGCACAGGCUUCCACCACCACGCCAUAUUCUUCCAUCUCACCCUGGGCAUUAUCCAGCUCCAAGGCCCCUUCGCAGGCCACCACCGGUCCAUCAUGAGCUGCCCUUUCCAAGAGGCAAGCGACCUGGCCCACCUUUUGGUGGACCUUCCAGAGUCAGGGGCCCCUUUUAUCCCCCUAAAAGACCUUUCUUGCCUCGACAUUACUGAAGUGUGUCUUGUGAUACUUAAGCUCAGGUGUUUAGUGCAUGUCACAGUGAGCAAGUAAAGAAGUCCAAAGUGCUGUUGGGUUAUCAUCAAGACAAAGAUUGCUGUGGAUAUUGACACGAAGGAGAUGGUCCUGAACACCUUCACAAGAUCACAAUAGAAAAGUGCAGAUUUAUUCAAGUAACCAAGGGGUUUGAAUCAGACCAACAAAAACUUUUGAGCAAGAUCUGUUUCUCUGAUCUUUUCCAACACCAAGACAUGUAAAGUGUGAGCAGUUGUGCUGCAAGGUGAAGUCAAGAAGCACUGGAGCAGAGAAAUGGAAAGAAUAUCUGGCAACGAAUGCUGGGGGAAUGAGAUGGAAUCUGAAGGCAAACAAAACAAGAGAUCUUCUGGUGAGGACUUUGUCUGCCCAGCAACAGAGUCCUUGAGGGGACAUCCAAUGCCCUUGUAUCCUGUCUGCUUGCAAAUCAAGCGCCCAAUGGUUUUGCGGCUACACUGUGUGAGAGGAAAAUAUAAACGUUCCCUUAAAGCGAGUAAACGUCACGGUUUCCACACCCCGAGGGAGGACAGGAGAUGGACAGGAGGGGGACACCGGCUUUCGACGUCAAAAGCUACGGGUUAUACGGAGUGUCAACACCGUGAAUAUUGGCUACAGCAUUACAGUGCAUCUUCUUCACAGCCUCUGCUUUAAAACAGCUGUCACGGUUCAAACCUUUCCACCGGGACUCGUGUUUAACAUCGCGACUCUUCCCCCGCCGCUGAGCCGCUCUCCAGUGCUGAAACUCCGGGCGCAGCUGUCGCUCCGUCCUCUUAGGAAACUGUCCUAAUGAAGGAAGCCGACGCCAUCAAGCUCUUCAUUGGCCAGAUCCCACGGAAUCUGGAGGAGAAGGACCUGAAGCCCAUCUUUGAGCAGUUUGGGAAGAUCUAUGAGCUUACGGUGAUCAAGGACAAGUACACGGGAAUGCACAAAGGAUGUGCGUUCUUGACGUACUGUGCGAGGGAGUCAGCAUUGAAGGCCCAGAAUGCACUGCAUGAGCAGAAGACAUUGCCAGGGGUGAGUUGUCAGUGUUAAUAAUGUGAACGGGCUGUAUAAAAAAAUAGAUUUAUUUAAGUCAAACAAACACUUCCAGUUGCCUAUAUAUAGCAGACUACAUAUAGCAUAAAUCUUUUAUCAUUAAGCUCUUCUAACAGGGCUGAGGAACAUGAAGUCAUUUCUAAAAAUGGAAACAACACAUUAUAUGGUUCAGGAGAUGGGAUCUGUGGAAAUCUAUGUUGACUGAACAGACUUUAAUUAGGUAUGUAGGAGGGCUCAAUCCUUGAAGGCAUCUGCGAUCGUGUCGCUGUCUGGAGUCGUUGAUUAGCUGUUAGGCCAUCUGCCAUGACAGGCAACAUGUAAAUUCACAAACCUCCAGUCUCUUCAUAUUUUUUUAUGUUGUUUUAUGUGCUAAUUACCUACUUUUUCAGAUUUGACAGAUGUACUGGAACAUUAUGA